CACAUGACUCUCGGCAACGGAUAUCUCGGCUCUCGCAUCGAUGAAGAACGUAGCAAAGUGCGAUACCUGGUGUGAAUUGCAGAAUCCCGUGAACCAUCGAGUUUUUGAACGCAAGUUGCGCCUGAGACCUUUCGGUUGAGGGCACGUCUGCCUGGGCGUCACGC
rnacentral:rRNA from 1 species